rnacentral:tRNA from 2 species
AGCCCUGUAGUCUAGCGGUUAAGGACUCGAGGCUCUGAACCUCGUAACCCAGGUUCGAAUCCUGGCAGGGCUA